CUGACCAUUUAAUGGCAUGUUAUUUUCAAAGC
rnacentral:piRNA from 1 species